rnacentral:lncRNA from 1 species
ACAAUGUGAUUAUGAGCCGUCAUGCCGUCUUCUUGGAAAAGAAGUUUAAUCAAGAUGGAGGCAGUGGAAGGAAGAUUGAGCUUUUAGAGAAAAUCUCUGAAGAGCAUCGAGUCCAACAACCUGAACCUAAUAAUGAGCCAGUAGAUGUGAUACCUCCUCCACCUGUAGAUCAAGUAGGAUCUCCUAUCCUCCUAAAAGGUACUUAGGUAUUCUUACAAAAGAUUUAAAAGAAGCAUUUCCUGUGGG